CUAGACUCUAACUUCGUUCUGGGACGGAGGAACUUCGAGUAAUAAUAAUAGGAGUUUAUGGGCCUAUUGAGUGUGUAAAUAAGGAAUUGGAGUUUAUAACUUCAGCAGUGUCAAGAUAAAUCAACGUUCUAGACAAUUGCCGUGACUCAAUUGUAAUACUGUCGCUUUUGAGUCAGAAAGUUAUGCUUUCAAGCUCCAUUCCAGAGCUGAGUUUAAAAAAAGCGUAGGCUGACAAAUAGUGUUUUGUUGGGGUGUGCUGUCCUUGUUGCAUAAAACUUGUCUGCCCUUGGAAACGGGAGUCUAUGGGAGUAGCUACACCACAUGUACUGCAGAGGUCCAAGAAGAUACUGCCAACCUGCAGAAUUGUUCCAGUUUCUUCAUAGAAUUCCUACAGUGUGGAAACAAGUCCACCAAGUCCACACAGGCCCACAGAGCAUCCCACCCAGACCCAUCCCCCGAGAACCCGCCUGAUCUACACAUCCCUGAAUACUAUGGGCAAUUUAGCAUGGCCAAUCCACCUAACCUGCACAUCUUUGGACUGUGGGAGGAAACCCACAUAGACACGGGGAGAAUGUGCAAACUCCACACAGACAGUUGCCUAAGGGUGGAAUCGAACCCGGGUCCCUGGCGCAGUGCAGCAGUAGUGCUAACCACUGAGCCACUGUGCUGUGUUCAAACAGUCAGAAAUGCUGUCACCGUGAUAAAUUAGCAGAGGAGAACUUCUAUUCUCUGACCGGGAAUCAAACCCGGGCUACAGCGGUGAACAUGCCGAAUCCUAACCACUAUACCACCUUCUUUAGUUAUUCCACUGAUUUUCCAUAUGGCUGAGUGUUGCAACCCUUGCUAUUUGUUGGAUAUAUUAGUGAUUUGUACUUAAAUGUGGGAAGCAUGAUUGGAAAAUUUACAGAUGACUCAAAAAUUGGGUGUAUAGUUGAUACUGAAGAGGAUAGUUGUCAACUCCAGUUUGGUUGAAUGGAUGAAAACGUGACAGAUGGAGUGAAAUUUGGAGAAUGUGAGGUGAUGUACUUGGGGAACGCAAACAAAGCCAUGAAUACAUAAUAAAUUGGACGAUAUUGAAAGAGGUAGGAAGUGAGACCUUGGAGUACAUGUCAUUGAAGGUCAUUGAAGGUGGCAGGACAGGUAGAUAAGGUGGGCAAAGGAGCAUAAAGGAUGCUUUCCUUUAUUGGACAAAGUACAGAAUACAAAAACAGGAUGAAAUGCUGGAACUAUACAAGACACUGGUUAGACCACGGCUAGAAUUCUGUGUACAGUUCUGCGCUGUAUUAGAGGAAGGGCAUAAUGGUUGGAGGGCUGAUUUCUGAUGCAGAGUGACGUCAAUUCCUGUACUGGUUGAGGUUACCACGAAAGUCCUGCCUUCUCAACCUUGCCCUUCAUCUGAGAUGUGGUGAUCCUCAAGUUAAACUCACCACAGUCUUAUGGUCGUCUGUCGACCUUACCUUUAAUUGCUCUGGACAUAGUAAAGGAGAUUUACGAGAGUGAUGUCAGGGUUCAAAAGUUGCAGCUAUGAGGAAAGAUUGGAAUGUAUAGAUUGGAUUUUCUAGGAACAGGGGAGGUUGAGAGGUGAUGUAGUUUAGGUGUACAAAAUUGUGAGGCGCCUAGUUAGAGGAAACAGGAGAGAGCUGUUUCACCUAGUGGAGAGGUCAUUUACAAGGGGCACAGAUUUAAAAUGAUCAAAGGAUUAGGAAGGUCAUGAAGAAAAACCUGAACACCCAGUGUUCAGAAUUUGCUGCCCAGUUUGGUGAUUGAAUUAGAAAUCUUCAACUUGUUUAAAAGGUUCUGCACCUGAAGUGCUGUAAUCUUUAAGGCCAUGGACCAAGUGCUGAAGGCUGAGAUUAGAACGGCCAGCCCAUUCUUUUCCUGAUUGCUGGUGCAAACACGAUAACUUGAAUUACCUCUUUCUUUGUUACAAUUUUUGUCUGGAUCAGUUAGCAGAAAGGUAUUUCCAGAAAGCUGAAGAGAAAAUUUGCUAUGUUUUAAUUAACUUGAUGAAUUCUUGCCAUGUUAAAUGCCAUACAUGAAAAGAGACAAUGAAAUUAAUUGAACACUUAACUUUAAAUGUGCACCAUACAUAAUGUGUGAUUGUGUGAAACUCUGUUCCUGGAAUGCAGCUACUUAGACUGCAUAUUAUAAAUCGAGUUUUAACAUAUACCAUCAAUCCCACAACCUGUUACCUUUCCUGCAAAACUGUAAAGUGUUAUAAAGUUUAAUUCUGAUUACGUGUAUAAGUAUAUGAAUUUGUUAAAACAUUAUUGGGACAAAGAUAACAGUUGUACUUGCACAUGACUGCAAAUAUUGUCAGUCUUCACAGACUGAAUUAAGUAACUGCAGUAUUAUUUUCAAAUGUGCUUUUUGCUAAUUACUAAUGUGGAAAUAGUAAAGCUGUACAGUGCAUCAUUUUAGAUUAUCAAUUUGAUAUCUAAAGAACUAGCAACCUUCCUACCAAUUCUAUUGGUGGAAUUGCUAUUAUGCAAAUAAUAUACAGAUGGAACAAUAAAUUCAUAAAUUCGUAAAGCCGAUAUCUGUCAACAGCAUAAGUAAUGAUAAUCAUUUUGGGCAUUAUCUUUGUGACAAUGUUUGGCAAGCCUAUUUUAAAUCUAGAAAUAACUAAUAUUAUCAUAUUAUGAAAUCUUUCCCUUUACAAUCUGACAAGGGCAUUAGCCCACUAAUUUUAAAUAGGCUAAUGUUGCCAAUAAAUUAGUAAAGAAUGAAAUUUGAUUCAAGCUUGUUAAGAGCUUGUACAGUAGAGUUGUUCAACUCAAUUUCCAGGCUUUAGUUUAUAGAUAGAAAUGAGCCAGAAGAGGAAGGAUAAUGGUGCCUUGCAAAAGUGAUGCAAUAAUAUGUUUCAAUGCAAUUUAUUGUAUGUUUGCAAAUAAAUUAGAAAUUUUCUCAA